rnacentral:rRNA from 1 species
AUGAACGCUGGCGGCGUGCUUAACACAUGCAAGUCGAACGAUCCGGAAGCGCUUCGGUGCUGCCGGGAAGUGGCAGACGGGUGAGUAACGCGUGGGCAACCUACCCUUGAGUGGGGGAUACCCAGCCGAAAGGCUGGUUAAUACCGCAUAAGACGGCGGGCGCUUCGGUGUCCGGCAUCAAAGAUGGGGAUCGGUGAAAACCGACCUGUCGCUCGAGGAGGGGCUCGCGUCGGAUUAGCUGGUUGGUGAGGUAACGGCUCACCAAGGCGACGAUCCGUAGCCGGCCUGAGAGGGUGAUCGGCCACACUGGAACUGAGACACGGUCCAGACUCCUACGGGAGGCAGCAGUGGGGAAUUUUGCGCAAUGGGGGAAACCCUGACGCAGCAACGCCGCGUGGGUGAAGAAGCACCUUGGUGUGUAAAGCCCUGUCAACGGGGACUAAGAGGGCGGUUGGACAAGAGCCGUCGUUUGAGUGUACCCGUGGAGGAAGCCCCGGCUAACUCCGUGCCAGCAGCCGCGGUAACACGGAGGGGGGCAAGCGUUAUUCGGGAAUUACUGGGCGUAAAGGGCGCGCAGGCGGCGCGGUUCAGUGAGAAGUGAAAGCCCCUCGGCUUAACCCGAGGAACGGCUUCUCAUACU